GGAGCCGGAAAUUCACUCGCUCCGGUAAUAAAAUUAUUCAUCAACUCGUAGUAACCUUGGUCAACGUCAUCCUCUGGACUUGCGUCAAAUCAAGAUGAAGAGUCCAACAUACAGUUGGAGACUAAAUUAAAAGACUUACUGGAUAUUGACGAAGAAGAUGAUAAUAAUGAUGAUUAUAAUUAUGAAGAUAAAUUGUAUAAUAACGCAUUUGAUCAAGAGUUUGCAAAAGCUGCGCUAGAUUACAUCGAAAAUGCUGAAACGGAAAAAAGUAACGUGAUCAAAGAAACAAAACCUUUUCAGCAGUAAGCAGAUUAAAUUAAUUAAUAAUUGAAAUUUUAAAAUUGAAUAAUUUACGUACAGUUUGUUAAGUUUUAAUCCUGUAGAAAAAAAUUCAACGGGAAAAAAAGCAAAAACGAGUGAUAAACGCGCGCAAAUUGUUAAUCAAAGUGACAGCAAGCUGAUUGAUAAGGACGGGAACAGGAAAAGAGAAAAUGCUGUUUUGAAACGAAUAAAGGACACUUUUUACAAUCAUAAAUUGAUAAUAUCCUUGCCAGUGGGGGCUAGUAUUUUGGGAGGCACUUGUUUGUUCAGCUGCAUAUGCACGUUAAUUUUACGCCGGAAGAUUGCUAAUUGUUGCGCAUGUUGCGUUUCUCGAUGUUGCAGGAAAAAAAAAAAAGACUCUUGCGAGGACUUGGAGAGAGGAAAAACGAGUAAAGUUAAACCUAAGAGAGCAAAAAGAAGUAGAGCAGCAAAGCCAGUAAGAGCAGCAACUCCAGUAAUACCGACAACACCAGUAACAUCAGUCGCUUCCCAGCCGUCUUGGCCUCGCGCAAAGUCAUUAUCUGAGGAUUAUGUUGACGCAGCAGUACAACACGUUACUGUAGUUGAACCAUUAAUA